CUGGACUCACGGAAAGUAUCAGUGAGGGUUUUGGAAUCAGGUCUCUGAAAGUAGGUUCCAACAACACCCAUUUAGAAGCUGUGUGACCUUGGAUGAGAAAAUGAAGACUCAGAGACGUGAAGCUACUUGGCAGAGAUCAAAUGGCUCAUAAAUGGUAACGCUGGCUUUAAGCCCAGCAGGCCAGGGGGAAUGUUGCCUGUACUGGACCAGUGAGGACGCUGAAGCCCCCUGAGUUGAAUGAACUGGCUGAAGACGAGGCUCCCUGUUGUGGUGCUGGAAUUUGACUUGGUACCCACUCCCAGCCCUUGCUGUUCCCUCCAUGCUCCCUGCUCCCUGCAGAUGCACAAAUGAAGACCAAAGUCUUGAAAGAAGCUAGGGUCAAGCAUCAUUAAACCCAGGAGUCUUGUGCUGAUACAAGGCAGGGUCUCUCCGGAUGUUGAGGCAUCAUGGCUGUGUUGGGCGGAACCCCUGUUUGUCAGCAAAGGUUGUGGAAGCUCGUGCUCACUCCUAGGGGCCAUGGUGAUGCAGACAAGUGAGGUGCACUGUGUUUGCCUGAGCUGCUGCGGGCUGUGCUGGGCAGGCCACUCCUCCCUCCUGAGGUGACAUCCCACAUGACCAGCUUCACAAGGCAGCUUUCCUGAACAUGGGUGAGGGGGUUCCGUGGGGGUGGGGACGCUGCCAGGGACUUCUAGGAAGCAGACAGCGUUCAGGGCUCAGCACCACCAUCUCACUGCUGUGGAAGCAAGAAAAGGAGACUAUAAUUCAGCUCAGGGUGGCUAAUGGACAGCUUCCCAGAUAACAGACAGGAGGGGGAAGAUUAAUUCUGAAGCAGGAAUAGAUGUUAUUUGGGAAGGGAAGGGCAUUCAAGGCAGAGAUGAGGUGAAAAACAGCAUCGAUCAUCUACCAGCUACGAGUAGUUGAAUCUGACUGCAGUAGAAAAUAAAGGAAGCAGGGCCAGGGAGUUGGGGUGAGGGCGUGGAUGAAGCUGAGGAGCAGGCAGAGGCCAGAUUGUGGCAGUCCCUGUAAGCCGGGCUGAGAGUUUGAACUUGGUCCUUAAGGCAGGGAGGGGUAAGAAGAACUUUAAACAAGAAGUAGUGUGGCUAGAGGCGGGUUCUAGAAAGAUCACUCUGUGGGCAGGCGGGAGAUGUUCAUCCCUAUGCAGGCUCUGUGAGCCAGUCUUGGUCCUGUGAACCAGAGGUGUCCCUCUAAUGAAGUGCUAAUUGCAAACCAGUCAGUCACACUCUGGGAUGCUCUGGCCCCAACACCCAGAGUUCAGCUCUGUUCCUGUGAGUGCGGGCGUCUACCAGGAAGUGGAGCUGGCCUGUCUUCUCGGAAGCAGCAGCAAUUAAAAUGCAACCCUGAGACAUCAAGGAGUCAGCCAACUCUGUUUAUUUUUAUAUACUGAUAAAAUCCUCAGAAAGGGAAGCCAAGCUUUUCAGAGCAGCCUGCUCAUGCCCACCCAGCAUGCUGAGGAUCUGCAGGGAGCCCCUGCUCAGAAGGGCAGUCAGUGGCUGUGUCAGUGACCACCUCAGAGGGUAAAUAUGAGCUGGUCUGAGGAAGUGGGCACAUGGGUCUGAGGGAGUUCUGAACAUGACUGCAAAGCCCAGGGUCCCCAGAGCUGCAGCUGUAGCCAGAUUCAACUCAGCCAGCACAACACAGAGCACCUAGUGUGUGCAGAGAUCUUUUGACAGACUUGCUGCACAGUCGAGCAGCCAUCAGGGAGGGGAAGGGCCAUUCUACUGCACAUGCUGUUUGGAUGGAAAAAGCAGCUGAACUUCUCACUGUGGGUCAAGCUGGGCCUCUCUACAUGCAUUUUAUAAUAAAUUCGGCCCCUGGAAUUCCCACUGGAGGAACCGAAACUUCAGAUCCCAAUCCCCCCUUACCCAUUUCUUGUAGGAACAGAAAGUCUAAAUAGUUUAGGAUGCCCAGGCAUGGGAGGCAGCCUCUUAGUGGCCCCCAGGACCCCUGCCUUUUAGCAUUCAGCCCCGGAUCUGUACCACAGUUGGUUUGUGUGACUGAUUGCGUCCAGCAGAAGUGUGGCACUCCAAGGGUGGGGUAUAAAAGACAUUGGUGUCUUGGUCAUGCUUGCUGUCUUGGGCCAUUUGUUCUGGAGAAGCACACUGCCAGGUCAGAAGCAUGAUGGAGAGCCCACAUCAUGCAGAACAGGCGCCUUCUGCCAAUAGCCACCAAGUGAACUAGGAUGUAUGGUGCCCCAGCCCCAUUAAGAUUUGGAUGCCUGCAGCCUCAGACAACAUCUUGACUGCAACUUCAUGAGAGAGCCUGACCCAGAACCACCCAGUAAGACCCCUCCCAGAUUUCAGACUCUGACCUUAAACUUUUUCUGACCUUAAAACUGUUGUUCUAAGCUGCUAAGUUUUGGGGUAAUUUGUUACACAGCCAUGGGUGACUGAUACACCAUGGGAGACAUUUUACUAUCUAGAACAUGGGUUUACAGAGAUGGACAUGGGCCUGGAUCCACACCAACCUUGUGAUCUUGGGCAAGUUACUCCACCUCAGUGACUUAAUCUUCUCAUUCCAAAAAGGGGGUAGUAACAGUGGCAACCUCAUUUGUUGUCGUGAUGGUGAGGCCAGUGAAUGGUGCAUUAGUUCUGGUCCCAGCUCAUACUAAGUGUUCAAUAAACAGGACUGAGCAUCAACACCAUUUUUUCAGCCUUUCCUUCCAGCUAUAAUAAACUUCUUACAGAUCUGCAAACGUAUGACUCACACCUUUUCCUAGCUCUGGGCUUUGCUGCCUGCCCCUGUGCAGCUGCUUCUGCUGGAGAUCUUUCUCCCAUCUCUCCACCUGUCACCCUCACCCAUCUGGGUUGCUCAGGUGCCUGUUUGCUCUGGGAACAAGUUCCUGUAGACAGAGAUGAUCAUUCCUUCUGGGCUCCCACUGUGCAGUGAAGAUUGUCCUGGUGUUUCUUAAUUAUGUUUUAUUGCCAUUUUUCUGGGGUUCUUUGUGUCUUCAGGGGCAUGCAGAUAGUAGGCAUUCAGAAGAAGUGAGUUGCACCAAGGCUCUGCUGGAUUUAUACAAGAACAUCCUGCAAGGAGGAAGGCCAGCAAUGCUGCUGACCAGCCAUUCACUGGCAGCCUCUGGCAGCUGUAUAUAGUCAAAUCCUCAUUUGAGUUGUAUAUUUCUUUCACUCUUUUGUGUUUCCUUUUGCCACCACAGGCAGCUCUUACUAUUUUAUUUAGUUCCUCCUUGAAGCAUGUCUUUUGACUUUUAUUUUAUCCCUUUCAUAAUUUCAUCUUAUUUUUUAAAUAGAAAGUGUCUGUAUACUUGAGACUAUAAAUGUACACAUUAAUUAAAGGAGUUGACAUAACUUUAUUCCUUUAACUGUAUUUCCUUUAAUCUGGUCCUGGUUGAUCUCUUCACUCUGAAGUCCAUAAGCAUUGAUAAAGUGGAGACUCUUAUCCUGUACUUCCGCUCCAAUACAGAGAAUACUGGGCAAUGGGGCCACAUCACAUGGUUUUUUAACUUCAAGACAACUCUGCUUCUAAGAGGGGAAGGAAGCCCCAGCACCAACACGCAUAACCUCAAAUACACCCCAGUCUCUGUGUUCCACGAGGCAUCUAAUUCGUGUUCCAUAGCAAACAGGAAUGCCAGGAAUUACCCAACUUGGACUUUAGCCUAGGCACCACCUCUAACUCACUGGGGACACAAAACAUAUCACCCAGCCCUCAGGACCCUCAGCUUCUUGGUGGAUAUAAUAGGGACAAUGACACCCUCAGGGGAUUCAUUUGCCCGGUAAUUCUUGGGUACAGACUCUAAGCCACGCUCUUUGCUGGGUCCAGUGUCUGCCUAGGAAGAAGCUGUUCCCUGCUCUACAGGGGACACUCAGCCAAGAGAGGAGCAAGGUCAACAUUCAGAUCCUGGUGACUGCAUGGACUGAGAGAUACAGAGGGCAUGGGAGAACAGGGAAGAAGGGUGGCCAGGCAAGGCUGGGAGCACUCAGGGAAGGCUGCAGGAGGCGGCACCAGAGGUGAUGGAAGUCUUAAAGGUGAGGAAGGCAUGACGGAGGCAACCCAGGCAUGGGGCUGAGAAGCAGCAGUGCAGAUUCCUGUGUAGGUAGGCACCUGUGCACAUGGCACAGCUAGGGGAUGAGACAUCUGGCAGUUUGGCAUUCCAGGUACAGAAAGCAUGGAGCAGGAACAGGGAGGGUGGGUUGAAAGGGGAGCUGGAGAGCCUGGCAUAAGCCAGGACAUGGAGGAGAAAUACAACACGUCUGAAAGCGCUUUGUAAACUCUGAAGACCUUGCACAAAUGUGAGGGCCAUCCAUUGUUUCAGGACACUUAGCUUUCCAGCUGCCAUAGCCCAUCCUUACAAAAAACAUGCUGAAACCAGCGUCUUUUUUUUUUUUUCUUAAAUGAUCCUCCUUUCUACAGACUUGCAGAGUACAAUCAAGUAUGUGAGUGUUCACGUGUUGUCAUAUAAUCAAAUGAUUGGUGAUUUUCUUUUUAAUUUCCCUUUCUUUACCCAGUUGUGUUUCUACUGAUUUCUCAUUUCAGGAACAUAAACGCGGUGUCUCCGUGUUUUUAGGAAUAAAUUGGGAAGUGCUCACUUAAUUUCACCAUCCAAGAAACAAAAUCACUUCUCCCUCCAUGCAAUCCUGCAAUCCAAUCACCUGCGGCAGGAGAUGAGGAAGGAAAUUACUCUGCUUUUCUUUUGCUUUUUUCCUAACUAGUGAUAUUUGAGAAAAUUAAGUAUGUUUUAUUUUACACUCAGGACCCAGAUCCUCAGACAUACUUGGGGACUGAAACAGGAGAAUGCCAGUUGGUUACAGAAGCAAAUAUUUCAUUGCAUCCUUCCCCAGCCCCUAUGAAUGUCUUCAUAAAUGAAAUAAUAGAUUUUGUUUUGACACUACCUUAAAUAUUUCCACUGAGGCAAGACUCAGAGCAUUGUAAAUAGUCCCUGUUUAUCACACCUGUGGAAAUUUCACUUUUCUGGGUAGGACUGUGGAGCUGGUGUUCUGGGCUUAGGAUUCCAGUACCCUUGGCCUGGGCCCUGUCUUUGCCCAUGAUAUGACCUUGGGCAUGGACUCCCAGCUUGAAUGGGGGCAGCUGUAGAGUGAUAGAAAGGGCAUUGGGCAUGGAAGCAAAUAGAACAGAUUUGAACUAUAACUCUGCUGUUUACUAGCUAUGUGACUUCAGGCAAUUUACUUAAAUUUUCUGAGCUUUGGUUUUCUCAUUUUGUUAAAUGGGGAUAAUAGUGCCCAUCUUGCUGGACUAUGGUAGAAAGUUUAAAAAUGAAAUGGCAUAUAUAAGGUGCUGAGAUGGUGCCCAGUAUCUGGUGCUGCUAUGUACAGUUGGAUGGUUUCUGCACUGAACAAAGAUGCCAGCCAAGGGGCAUAUGGAGCUGAUACCCGGCCUUGCUUUUCUAACUUGCUGGUGUGCCAUACAGGACACUUAAAAAAAAACCAUCUGCCCAGGGGAGAAUAUUUGGAAGAACCAUCCUGCAGAGAUGGAGUCUCUUUGGAAUUCACAUGCAUGUGAAUUGCUGGGAGAGGAGACCCUGAGCACGAGGAGAUAAAUCUUCACUCCACUCCAUUGGAUUUGACUCCACCAUCCUCCUGCAAAAAGCCAUAUGGCCUCAGCUACAAAUCUGUUCAAAAGUAGAGAUGGCACCAUGUCCUGAAGCAGCACAUUCAUCUCCACAUGACUCUGUGAAAAGUAUUGUUUUAUGUUUGAGCUGAAAUCUUCCUUUAUUCAACUUCUCCUUGGUUAUCUAUGGACUCUUCGGGGCCCUCAUGAACAAGUGAGUCAGUAAAAACCAAGUGCUCAUUGGCUAAUUUGUUAAAUAGCAUAUUGCUUAGGUUAGGCUAGGUUGCUCUGCUGCAAGAAAAAAAGCUCUGUGACUUAGCACAGCAAAAAUAUGUAAUGUGAGUUCACUACAAGUAGCAGAGAGGGGCACUUAUGCAGGCCCCAAACCCACGAAGACUUCACUAUGUGGAACACUGUCAUCAUCGGUCCUGGCAGUGAGACAGAGAGAGGCUAGAGAAUCCAAUAUCUGCUUUUCCAUGCAGCAGAAGAACGGAUGCAUUUCACUCUGGUUGACAUGUCACUGGCCAGUCACAUGACCCUGCCUAUGUAUAAGAGGUCUGGGGAAUGUGGAGGAGCAAAUGGAUAGUCCAGUGAACAUCGCUAUCUCUGCAACUUUCAUAACAGUGGACUGAUUCAGUUAGGACCGUGAGCAGGGUGCUGGCCUUCAGUAUACUGGGUAGCUGUGGGCAAGCCCCUUUCCAUUGCCAGGGCUCAUUUUGCUCAUGGGGAAAAUGAAAAUAUGAAUUACCACGCUGACUACAGAUAUGGAAUGGGACUUGGGUGUUCCACAGGCCCUAGCUCUCUAACACUUGCCUCCGUGGGCUUGAGCCAUUUGAAAACACAGCUGGGAAAGACCCCAAAGCAUACAGGGGCAUGUGAGAAUGAGAAAUCUGUCCAAGAAGCCAGAGCCCCUUUUCAAAUGUUUGGCUCUAGAGCCCUCCAAAGCAAAUUAUGAGUAUGGAGAAAGAAGAGGGUCUUUCCGCUCCUAUUUCACCAGACCCUGUGAUGCCCACAGCGUGGUCCCACUUUUAAUAGUGCCUGGGGUGGGUGGAAGGGCCUGGUCCGUGGCCACAGAGAGAACUUUUGUCUCCAGGGGUGUCCAACCGGCCUCUAUCCUGAGGAUUACCGUAACUUUUUAAUUAAGGCAAAGUUUGCAGGGAGUUUGGCCUUUUGAUGUGGCAGCUGUAGCUGGAAAACAGGCCUGCACUGCAGACUUUACUGCCUGCCGAUGGCCCAGGAGCUGCCACCCACAUCUCAGAGCCCACACCCCAUAAACAGCCCAGAUCAUGUGUCUUUAGGGCAGGGUGCAUGACAGGGGUCGGGACCACCAUGAUGUGAGAAGACUGCUUUUGCUGAUAGUCUCACAGGGCCUGGACCACCCCAGGUCCCCCACAAAAUGGGGGUAGGGGUUUGAGAUAGCAGAAGAGUGAAUAAGGUGAUCUUCGAUACACAUGGCAAAGUUGUCAGUCUUGGCCUCGGCCUCAGUGUCCUACAACACCCAGGCAAGAAUGGAGUGGGGAGGGGCAUGGAGCCAGGAAGUUCCUGCAGCGUCUUCACACCAGAGUGCAUGUGUCUGCUUCCUCCGGACAGGGGGAAGGACAGGGACCUGCCUCACUCACCUUGGUAUCCCAGAGUCCUACAUAGAGUAGGCCAGCCCUUUAGAUGCUGACAGAACUGAAAACUGUCCCUCUGGGGACAGUUACAAAGUGCACUUUGAGCAUGUCGCUUUAUUUGUAUUCGAUAUCUAUUUAUUGAGCCUCUGCUAUGUACCAGGUAUGUGUCCCAGACACAGAGGAUUCAGCAGUAAAUAGCAACCCCUGCCCACAGACUGGCUAUUCUGGCUUAGGAUGUUUAUGACACCACUGAAGUUUAUGACAUUUAUGGCACCUACCAUGAUUCAUCCAAGUCACACAGAUAAUUUAGGGCAAAACUGAGAUAAGAACUUGAGCUUACUGAUUCCCAUGAGGGCAGCACUUUUCAAACUUUCUUACUGAAAAACCCCUAAAAGAGUGUCUGGGGGCAGGGCCCAAAGCAGUCAGAUGCAGGUGUGCCAUUACUUUGACAUUUCAACGCUUUACUCAAAAAAUUUAUACAAAUGUUGAAUUCCAUACUAUAUUAUAUCCAUAGUUGUUUAACUAUAAAUAGUGUAAGUUAAUAAAUAUAUCUG
rnacentral:lncRNA from 10 species